CACGGGGGGGAGCAAGCGUUGUUCGGAAUCACUGGGCGUAAAGGGCGUGUAGGCGGUUAGGUAAGUGGGAUGUGAAAUGCCCCGGCUCACCCGGGGACCUGGCAUCCCAAACUGCCCGACUUGAGUAUGGGAGAGGAUGAGGGAAUUCCUGGUGUAGCGGUGAAAUGCGUAGAUAUCAGGAGGAACACCGGUGGCGAAGGCGCUCAUCUGGCCCAAUACUGACGCUGAGGCGCGAAAGCUAGGGGAGCAAACGGG
rnacentral:rRNA from 1 species